AAGUAACUUACAUCUCUGGGAGUGGAGUAUACAUGACUGCCAGGUGCCCAAGGACAGCAGAGGUACCAGCUUCCUCUGAAGCAAAGGAAGUACCAGGCAGUUGUGAAUGACCUGACAUGAUGUGGGCACUGGGACUCAAACAAAGGUCCUUUAUAAGGGCAGCAAGUGCUCCUGACUAUUGAGUCUUCUCUCCAGCUCCUAGAUUGGCAAAGUUUUAAAAACUGAUAAUAUAAAGGCUGCAGAGAUGGCUCAGAGGUUAAAAGCAUGGGCUGCUCUGACCCAGAGUCCUGAGUUCAAUUCUCAGCAACCACAUGGAUUCAUAGCCAUCUGUAAUGAAAUCUAAUGCCCUCUUUUAGCAUGCAUACAGCCAGUACAAACACUAUACAUAAUUUUUUAAAAUUUGAUAAUAUAAACCCAUUUAAUCCAAGCAUUUAGGAGGCAGAGGCAGGCAGAUUUCCGAGUUCAAAGACAAUUAGGGCUACACAGUGAGAACUUAUCUCAAACAACAAAAAAAGUAGGAGAAUACUACAGAGUUGGUGAAUUAUGACUUCAAAUGUUCCAACUCUGACCCAAGAAUUCUACCCCCUGUGGUCCAAGACAGGGACUGAGCCAGUCACUGUCACUGUAGGUAACAACAUGCUAGAAACCCUCAACACCUACCACUGAGGAAACCUGGGCCAGGGUGGCUACACAUGAGGGUGACAGCUACUUUCCAGAGGGAGAUGGGCAUACAAGUGAACCAUCAGCUUACAAACUAGUGUGAAGUGUUCACACUUGUGGAAGAGAGAGGGACAUGCCGAGUAGGCUGGUAGCUAUGGUGCCUCAAGUGUACACAAACAUUCUUAUACACAUUUUUAAUGAGCAUAUAUUAGUCUAGUAAGCAGAAAAAUACAAAUAACAAAUCAUGAUUAGCAAAAUUUCUCAUAAUUAAAGUUUCU
rnacentral:lncRNA from 1 species